ACGAUGAACCCAGCUUGCUGGGUGGAUUAGUGGCGAACGGGUGAGUAACACGUGGGUGAUCUGCCCUGCACUUCGGGAUAAGCCUGGGAAACUGGGUCUAAUACCGGAUAUGACCAAAGGCUGCAUGGUUUUUGGUGGAAAGUUUUUCGGUGCAGGAUGAGCCCGCGGCCUAUCAGCUUGUUGGUGGGGUAAUGGCCUACCAAGGCGACGACGGGUAGCCGGCCUGAGAGGGCGACCGGCCACACUGGGACUGAGACACGGCCCAGACUCCUACGGGAGGCAGCAGUGGGGAAUAUUGCACAAUGGGCGAAAGCCUGAUGCAGCGACGCCGCGUGAGGGAUGACGGCCUUCGGGUUGUAAACCUCUUUCACCAGGGACGAAGCGCAAGUGACGGUACCUGGAGAAGAAGCACCGGCCAACUACGUGCCAGCAGCCGCGGUAAUACGUAGGGUGCGAGCGUUGUCCGGAAUUACUGGGCGUAAAGAGCUCGUAGGCGGUUUGUCGCGUCGUCUGUGAAAUCCCGCAGCUCAACUGCGGGCUUGCAGGCGAUACGGGCAAACUCGAGUACUGCAGGGGAGACUGGAAUUCCUGGUGUAGCGGUGAAAUGCGCAGAUAUCAGGAGGAACACCGGUGGCGAAGGCGGGUCUCUGGGCAGUAACUGACGCUGAGGAGCGAAAGCGUGGGUAGCGAACAGGAUUAGAUACCCUGGUAGUCCACGCCGUAAACAGUGGGCGCUA
rnacentral:rRNA from 1 species